rnacentral:rRNA from 1 species
UCAACCUGCCUUACCGUCCGGGAUAACUAGCCGAAAGGUUAAGCUAAUACCUGAUACGAUCGUUGAGCGGCAUCGCACGACGAUGAAAGCAGCAAUGCGCGGUUAGAGGGGGCUGCGGCCCAUUAGCUAGUUGGUGAGGUAAUGGCCCACCAAGGCAACGAUGGGUAGCUGGUCUGAGAGGACGACCAGCCACACUGGGACUGAGACACGGCCCAG